GACACGACUCUCGGCAAUGGAUAUCUCGGCUCUCGCAUCGAUGAAAAACGCAGCGAAAUGCGAUACGUGGUGCGAAUUGCAGAAUCCCGCGAAC
rnacentral:rRNA from 1 species